UACGAAGGGGGCUAGCGUUGUUCGGAAUUAUUGGGCGUAAAGAGCGCGUAGGCGGUCCGAUAAGUCGGCUGUGAAAGUCAGGGGCUCAACCCUUGAAAGCCGGCCGAUACUGUCGGACUAGAGUCCGGAAGAGGCAAGUGGAAUUCCCGGUGUAGCGGUGAAAUGCGCAGAUAUCUGGAGGAACACCGGUGGCGAAGGCGGCAUCCUGGACCAAUAUUGACGCUGAGGAGCGAAAGCUAGGGGAGCAAACGGGG
rnacentral:rRNA from 1 species